ensembl:lncRNA
CGUUAUCAAUUGAUGGCAGACUCGGUCCAGUCAAGCACACAUCCACAGAUUUAAGAGCUUUCACCUCCCACACACUCAAGGUAAAGUGGGCUGUGAUGGCUUUGGCUAGGGCUGAACGAUUUUAAGAAAAAAUUGAAAUUGCGAUUUUUCUGGUAGAGAUUGCGGUUUCGAUUUCAACCACGAUUUAUUUUCUUUAAAUCAAGUUUCAGUAUAAAUUAAUAUAACCAAUGAAUUCCAUUAAGGUAAUGCAAUAAUGAAAACUGCUGGCAACAGAUUUCAAAUGCAAGACUGUUUAUUCAAGUACCUAAGAAACAACAACCAAAAAAGUCAAAUAAAAAGGAGCCCUCUUUCUUAAGUAAACUUGCUUCAAUGGCUCAUCAGCAUCAAAAUAAUUGCAGUUUUGUAAAAAAAAAAAAAAAUUAUAAAAAAAAACAGAAAAAAAAAACCUCAGCUUUGACGAUCCCAAAAUCGUGAUGCUUGAGAUCGCGAUUUUCGGUCGAAAACGAUAGAUCGUUCAGCCCUAGCUUUGGCCCACCACAAACCCAGCCUCCACCUGCUUUGGUUCUGCUGUGUAUUAUACAUCACCACAAUGAUAAUGUUGAGAUAUCUGAGGUACCACAUGGAGGAUUUGUUUAGUGCCCCCUGUUGUCAAAUGUUGGUAUUAUGUAUCUGACAUCUAUGUGUCCUGCUUAAAAUCUUACUGCAGGGAAAACCAUAAAGGAGUAGAACCCUACCCCAAAACUAAAAUUAUUACCACUUCAUGCAAAAAAUCGUUAAAUCUAUCAGAUGACAGAAGUGAUGUUAGGAAUAUCUAUAUCUUAGGAUCUCUAAAUCUUGACAUUAAAGGCCCACUAUGCAACUUUUUUAGCCAAAAUUACAUUAAGUAUGCAGGUUGAGAGUUAUGCUGAUGGUUCUGCAUCCAUUUCUGGGUCGAUUGGUGGGUGUGUCAUUUUCCAAUGUGGCCUCUACAGUGAAAAAGCGCAUAUGCAACUUGAUGUGUUCGGACCGAGCGCUUCCGGAUGUGACGCGGAGGAAGUAUCCUCGAAAAUGUAGUCAGAUUGUAGUUUCGAAAAUGCUUUACGGCACAGACACACACCCAAACAUGGCACCGGCUAGAUAUAAACAGCCUGUUGCGAGGCAAUUUGGCUUGAUUUACCUUAAUAUAACAGGCUAGGAGUCAUUGCGAUGGUUCCAUUAUACAUUUUUGUUCGAUUGUUCGUUGUUUCAAC